rnacentral:sRNA from 1 species
CUGCCCGCGUGGCGCAGUUGGUAAGACUGUUACCCAAGGUAGCACUGUUAGAUGUGCUGUAGGUUCGAAUCCUGCCGCUGGCAAGGUCCCAUUUUGGGCCACUUCUUACCCAUGAAGGCCCCUGUGACCAGGGGCCAAGCCUAGUGAGGCAGUGCUGACAGAGGUGCUGCUUGGCAGUGGUGAGGGUGGUGGCCACUGGAAGCCACACUCAUUAGUGCCAAGCAGCCCCCCUGUCACUAGUGCUGAUCUAAGCAAGAUCCGAUGAUUACAGAGGGUCGAGUAUAGGGUGCUUAUACAUACUAGCACCUGCCAAGGCCCCCGGCAUCUAGGGGGCCACCCCAACAACAGGGAAUGAUUUUAAAAACCAUCCAAUUGGCUGCCUCAUCAGAGGGGUAGUAGCAAGCCAAGCAGGACACCCUGGUAGACACCCUAUUCAGGGCCCACUAGUGGUCAUCUAACACUAUUAGUGGGUUAUCAUCAGGUGGGGUAAGCCUAUGGUUAGUCCCUUACACAGGGCAAGGCCACGACGGCCGGUUGGUAGGCCAAGGGGGCAAUGGGCCGAGAUCAGCAACUGGAAGCUCUGGGCUAUGGUGAUGCCUAGGGUGGGCAGUGGCGCUUAACUAGGACCCCCGCUGGAAACCCCAGAACUAGUUAAAGCGGCCCGAGAGGACAGACGCGGUGGUCGGUUGGUUAUAGGGGUUAUAAUAUGUAACUAGC